GACGUAGGGCGCGAGCGUUGUCCGGAUUUAUUGGGCGUAAAGAGCUCGUAGGCGGCUUGUCGCGUCGUCCGUCGAAAACUUGGGGCUCAACCCCAAGCUUGCGGUCGAUACGGGCAGGCUCGAGUUCGGUAGGGGAGACUGGAAUUCCUGGUGUAGCGGUGAAAUGCGCAGAUAUCAGGAGGAACACCGGUGGCGAAGGCGGGUCUCUGGGCCGAUACUGACGCUGAGGAGCGAAAGCGUGGGGAGCGAACAGG
rnacentral:rRNA from 1 species